AUUGAACGCUGGCGGCAGGCCUAACACAUGCAAGUCGAGCGGUUGACGGGAGCUUGCUCCCUGAUUCAGCGGCGGACGGGUGAGUAAUGCCUAGGAAUCUGCCUAUUAGUGGGGGACAACGUUUCGAAAGGAACGCUAAUACCGCAUACGUCCUACGGGAGAAAGCAGGGGACCUUCGGGCCUUGCGCUAAUAGAUGAGCCUAGGUCGGAUUAGCUUGUUGGUGAGGUAAUGGCUCACCAAGGCGACGAUCCGUAACUGGUCGGAGAGGAUGAUCAGUAACACUGGAACUGAGACAGGGUCCAGACUCCUACGGGAGGCAGCAGUGGGGAAUAUUGGACAAUGGGCGAAAGCCUGAUCCAGCCAUGCCGCGUGUGUGAAGAAGGUCUUCGGAUUGUAAAGCACUUUAAGUUGGGAGGAAGGGUUGUAGAUUAAUACUCUGCAAUUUUGACGUUACCGACAGAAUAAGCACCGGCUAACUCUGUGCCAGCAGCCGCCGUAACAC
rnacentral:rRNA from 1 species